AGCAGCCGCGGUAAUUCCAGUUCCAAUAGCGUAUAUUAAAGUUGUUGCAGUUAAAAAGCUCGUAGUUGAAUUUCGGAAUCUGUCCAUCGUCGAGCUUCACUGUUCGUACUGGUGUGGUGGGUUCUUACCUUCUGAAUAACCAGCAUGCCAUUCACUUGGUGCGUUGGGGAAGCAGGACUAUUACCUUGAAAAAAUUAGAGUGCUCAAAGCAGGCCAGCGCCUGAAUACAUUAGCAUGGAAUAAUAAAAUAGGACGGCAUGGUUCUAUUUUGUUGGUUUCUAGGAUCACCGUAAUGAUUAAUAGGGAUAGUUGGGGGCAUUAGUAUUCAAUUGUCAGAGGUGAAAUUCUUGAAUUUAUUGAAGACUAACUUCUGCGAAAGCAUUUGCCAAGGAUGUUUUCAUUAAUCAAGAACGAAAGUUAGGGGGAUCGAAGACGAUCAGAUACCGUCGU
rnacentral:rRNA from 1 species